CUUCUUCUACCCAUCACAUCUAUUCACUUCUUUUUCUUCUACCCAUCACAUCUUCUCACAUCUCAAUUCUCCUAAAGAAAAGUGGAGAGAAAACAAUUAACCAGAGACACCAUUGAGAAGGUUUUGCAUUUAACAUGGAUAAGUUGAACAACCAACUACCAUAGAGUGUUGGCGGUGGUGGUACGGUGACAUUCAAUGAACAUUGCCGGUGGUGGUACGGUGACAAUGAACAUUGCCGGUGGUGGUACAGUGACAUAAUCACGCUCCCAAAAAGUGGAGGUUGACUUCAAAUUGGCAACCAAAGAGCAUGAAGACUCAAUUUCAGAAGAGGCUCAGAUUACAGAGGGAAAGCAAGGCAUCUACCACCAAAUUGGAAAAAUGUGUUAAAGGGAAACUAAUAAGUAUAUUUAAUCUCAAAUUAUUAUUACAUUAAUUUGUAUAGUUUGUGUUUACGGAUUUCUUUGUAACAUUGCGAAAAUGUUUUGUUUUAUGUAUGGUGCAAUGAUUAUAUAUCUUAUUACCUGGUUAUAUAAAAAAACUUGUGGGC